GACGAACGCUGGCGGCGUGCCUAAUACAUGCAAGUAGAACGCUGAAGGAGGAGCUUGCUUCUCUGGAUGAGUUGCGAACGGGUGAGUAACGCGUAGGUAACCUGCCUGGUAGCGGGGGAUAACUAUUGGAAACGAUAGCUAAUACCGCAUAAGAGUAGAUGUUGCAUGACAUUUGCUUAAAAGGUGCAAUUGCAUCACUACCAGAUGGACCUGCGUUGUAUUAGCUAGUUGGUGGGGUAACGGCUCACCAAGGCGACGAUACAUAGCCGACCUGAGAGGGUGAUCGGCCACACUGGGACUGAGACACGGCCCAGACUCCUACGGGAGGCAGCAGUAGGGAAUCUUCGGCAAUGGACGGAAGUCUGACCGAGCAACGCCGCGUGAGUGAAGAAGGUUUUCGGAUCGUAAAGCUCUGUUAUAAGAGAAGAACGAGUGUGAGAGUGGAAAGUUCACACUGUGACGGUAUCUUACCAGAAAGGGACGGCUAACUACGUG
rnacentral:rRNA from 1 species